GACUUCGGUCUGGUGGCGAGUGGCGAACGGGUGAGUAAUGCAUUGGAACGUACCGAGUAGUGGGGGAUAACUAGUCGAAAGAUUAGCUAAUACCGCAUACGCAUUGAGAUGGAAAGCGGGGGAUCUUAGGACCUCGCGCUAUUUGAGCGGCCAAUGUCUGAUUAGCUAGUUGGUGGGGUAAAGGCCUACCAAGGCGACGAUCAGUAGCGGGUCUGAGAGGAUGAUCCGCCACACUGGGACUGAGACACGGCCCAGACUCCUACGGGAGGCAGCAGUGGGGAAUUUUGGACAAUGGGCGAAAGCCUGAUCCAGCCAUGCCGCGUGUCUGAAGAAGGCCUUCGGGUUGUAAAGGACUUUUGUCAGGGAAGAAAAGGUGAUUGCUAAUAUCAGUCGCUGAUGACGGUACCUGAAGAAUAAGCACCGGCUAACUACGUGCCAGCAGCCGCGGUAAUACGUAGGGUGCGAGC
rnacentral:rRNA from 1 species